AAAAUUUUUAUACCCUCCACCAUAGUAUGGAGGGUAUAUUAGUUUUGUUUUUCCGUUUGUAACGCAUCGAAAUAAUCAUUUCCGACCCUAUAAAGUAUAUAUAUUCUUGAUCAGCGUAAAAUUCUAUGACGAUUUAGCCAUGUCCGUCUGUCUGUCUCCAUGUCCGUCUGUCCGUCUGUCCGUCUGUCCGUCUGUCUGUCUGUCUGUCUGUCCGUCUGUCUGUUGUAAUC